UACGGAAGGCAGCAGUGGGGAAUAUUGCACAAUGGGCGCAAGCCUGAUGCAGCCAUGCCGCGUGUAUGAAGAAGGCCUUCGGGUUGUAAAGUACUUUCAGUCGUGAGGAAGGUGUUAAGGUUAAUAACCUUAGCAAUUGACGUUAGCGACAGAAGAAGCACCGGCUAACUCCGUGCCAGCAGCCGCGGUAAUACGGAGGGUGCGAGCGUUAAUCGGAAUUACUGGGCGUAAAGGGCACGCAGGCGGUUAAUUAAGUUGGAUGUGAAAUCCCCGGGCUUAACCUGGGAAUGGCAUUCAAGACUGGUUAGCUAGAGUCUUGUAGAGGGGGUAGAAUUCCAUGUGUAGCGGUGAAAUGCGUAGAGAUGUGGAGGAAUACCGGUGGGCGAAAGGCGGGCCCCCUGGACGAAAGAACGUGACGCGUCAUGUGCGAAAGACGUGGGGAGGCAAACAAGGAUUAGAU
rnacentral:rRNA from 1 species